UACGUAGGGGGCAAGCGUUGUCCGGAAUUAUUGGGCGUAAAGAGCUCGUAGGCGGUUUGUCGCGUCUGCUGUGAAAACUCGGGGCUUAACCCCGGGCCUGCAGUGGGUACGGGCAGACUAGAGUGCGGUAGGGGAGACUGGAAUUCCUGGUGUAGCGGUGAAAUGCGCAGAUAUCAGGAGGAACACCGGUGGCGAAGGCGGAUCUCUGGGCCAGUAUUGACGCUGAGGAGCGAAAGCGUGGGUAGCAAACAGG
rnacentral:rRNA from 1 species